CUCCGACUUAACAGGACGAGCGCAUUUAUUAGACCAAAACCAAUCGGCGCAAGCCGUUUUCUGGUGAAUCUGAAUAACUACGCAGAUCGCUUCGGUUUCACACCGGCGACAUAUCCUUCAAGUGUCUGCUUUAUCAACUUUCGAUGGUAGUUUAUACGCCUACCAUGGUUUUGACGGAUAACGGAGAAUCAGGGUUCGACUCCGGAGAGGGAGCCUGAGAAACGGCUACCACUUCUAAGGAAGGCAGCAGGCGCGCAAAUUACCCACUCUCGGCACGAGGAGGUAGUGACGAAAAAUAACGAGAUAACCCGCUCUAGCGAGUUAUCAUCGGAAUGAGUACAAUCUAAAUCCUUUAACGAGGACCUAGCGGAGGGCAAGUCUGGUGCCAGCAGCCGCGGUAAUUCCAGCUCCGCCAGUGUAUAUCUAUGCUGCUGCGGUUAAAAAGCUCGUAGUUGGAUCUUCGUGAUCGUCCAGGUCCGCCUUUGUGGCGUGAACUGAAGACCUUCACUGAAUCGCUGCUUUACCCUUGUUGCUCUUAACCGGGUGACCUGGGUGGGUAGCAUGUUUACUUUGAAAAAAAUUAGAGUGCUUAAAACAAGCGAUUUGCUUGAAUAUUCGUGCAUGGAAUAAUAGAAUAGGCUUUUGCUCUAUUUUGUUGGUUUUCGGAGCACAAGAGAAUGAUUAAGAGGGACAGACGGGGGCAUUCGUACUCCGACGUUAGAGGUGAAAUUCUUGGAUCGUCGGAUGACGCACUACUGCGAAAGCAUUUGCCAAGAAUGUUUUCAUUAAUCAAGAACGAAAGUUAGAGGUUCGAAGGCGAUCAGAUACCGCCCUAGUUCUAACCGUAAACUAUGCCAACUAGCGAUCUGCUGGUGUUUUCUUAGACCCAGCAGGGAGCUUACCGGAAACGAAAGUCUUCAGGUUCCGGGGGAAGUAUGGUUGCAAAGCUGAAACUUAAAGGAAUUGACGGAAGGGCACCACCAGGAGUGGAGCCUGCGGCUUAAUUUGACCCAACACGGGAAAACUCACCCGGCCCGGACACCGUAAGGAUUGACAGAUUGAGAGCUCUUUCUUGAUUCGGUGGGUGGUGGUGCAUGGCCGUUCUUAGUUGGUGGAUUGAUUUGUCUGGUUUAUUCCGAUAACGAACGAGACUCCAACCUACUAACUAGUGGGCGAAUCUUCACGUUCGCAACACUUCUUAGAGGGACAAGCAGUGUUUAGCUGCAUGAGAAGGAGCAAUAACAGGUCUGUGAUGCCCUUAGAUGUCCGGGGCUGCACGCGCGCUACACUGAAGG
rnacentral:rRNA from 1 species